rnacentral:rRNA from 1 species
UAUCGGAACGUGCCCUGGAGUGGGGGAUAACUAGUCGAAAGACUAGCUAAUACCGCAUACGAUCUACGGAUGAAAGUGGGGGAUCGCAAGACCUCAUGCUCGUGGAGCGGCCGAUAUCUGAUUAGCUAGUUAGUGGGGUAAAGGCCUACCAAGGCAUCGAUCAGUAGCUGGUCUGAGAGGACGACCAGCCACACUGGGACUGAGACACGGCCCAG